UACGGGGGGGGCAAGCGUUGUUCGGAAUUACUGGGCGUAAAGGGCUCGUAGGCGGCCAACUAAGUCAGACGUGAAAUCCCUCGGCUUAACCGGGGAACUGCGUCUGAUACUGGAUGGCUAGAGGUUGGGAGAGGGAUGCGGAAUUCCAGGUGUAGCGGUGAAAUGCGUAGAUAUCUGGAGGAACAUCAGUGGCGAAAGCGGCACCCUGGCAUUAGCCUGACGCUCAUGUGCGAAAGCGUGGGGAGCGAACGGG
rnacentral:rRNA from 1 species